UGGGGAAUUUUGGACAAUGGGCGCAAGCCUGAUCCAGCCAUGCCGCGUGCGGGAAGAAGGCCUUCGGGUUGUAAACCGCUUUUGUCAGGGAAGAAAUCUUCUGAGUUAAUACCUCGGGAGGAUGACGGUACCUGAAGAAUAAGCACCGGCUAACUACGUGCCAGCAGCCGCGGUAAUACGUAGGGUGCAAGCGUUAAUCGGAAUACUGGGCGUAAAGCGUGCGCAGGCGGUUUUGUAAGACAGAGGUGAAAUCCCCGGGCUCAACCUGGGAACUGCCUUUGUGACUGCAAGGCUUGAGUGCGGCAGAGGGGGAUGGAAUUCCGCGUGUAGCAGUGAAAUGCGUAGAUAUGCGGAGGAACACCGAUGGCGAAGGCAAUCCCCUGGGCCUGCACUGACGCUCAUGCACGAAAGCGUGGGGAGCAAACAGGAUUAGAUACCCUGGUAGUCCACGCCCUAAAACGAUGUCAACUGGUUGUUGGGAAGGUUCCUUCUCAGUAACGUAGCUAACGCGCGAAGUUGACCGCCUGGGGAGUACGGCCGCAAGGUUGAAACUCAAAUGAAUUGACGGGGU
rnacentral:rRNA from 1 species